UACGGAGGGUGCGAGCGUUGUCCGGAAUCACUGGGCGUAAAGGGCGCGUAGGUGGUGUUGUCAGUCAGACGUGAAAUCCCCAGGCUUAACCUGGGAAUUGCAGUCGAUACUACUCAGCUAGAGUAUGGGAGAGGGUAGUGGAAUUCCCGGUGUAGCGGUGAAAUGCGUAGAUAUCGGGAGGAACAUCAGUGGCGAAGGCGGCUACCUGGCCCAAUACUGACACUCAGGUGCGACAGCGUGGGGAGCAAACAGG
rnacentral:rRNA from 1 species